rnacentral:lncRNA from 1 species
GCCCCGCCAGCGGGGUGUGGGUCGAGGUGCCCCGGACUGGGAGAGAAGGAGCCUCCCUCGGCCGUAGGAUGGGGGCUGCCCUGUAAGUCAGGGAGCAUCUGUGUCCCGGAGUCCCAGGCCCUUUUCGAUGGCGGCAGUGGCCGGGGGUCCCCUGUAAGCAGGGAAGCUGACUCUUUGGCUGCUGCUUUUUGUGUGCCCAGCCCCAUUUGCCCAGUCUGCCCGCCUCUGUGAUCCCCCGCAGCACUGGCUGGAAGUCCGCUGCGUGUCAGUGAGGAGCUGCUGCAGAAGGAAGAAGAAGAAGCAGCGGCGUGGGGACCUGGGAGGCAGGAGCAAGCC